rnacentral:lncRNA from 1 species
UGUGAUCUCGGCUCACUGCAACCUCCACCUCCUGGUUCAAGCGAUUCUCCUGCCUUAGCCCCACAAGUAGCUAGGAUUACAGGUGUGCACCACCACAACUGGCUAAUUUUUUUAUUUUUAGUAGAGACGGGGUUUUGCCAUGUUGGCCAGGCUGGUCUCAAACUGCUAGCCUCAGGUGAUCCUCCCACUUUGGCUCCCAGAGUGCUGGGAUUACAGGAACAAGCAACAGUGCUCGGCCUCUAGCCUUAAUUUUCUAACUUAUGCAUUGUAUGUUCCAGUUUUACUGCUAAAAUGAACAUUAAUUUACUACUGAACAUAUUAUUUUGAUAAUUAUAUGUCCAUUAUGAUGUACAUUAAAAAAAUAGAAUAUAACCCUUGAGAUGUCAUGAAUGUCACUGUAAAAGCAAAGACAAGUUUAUUUAAAUAAAAUUAUAAAGUAAGUAAUAGUAUUAAGUGGUAUGUGGAAAUUAUAAAAUUGCAGAGAUCUAUGCAAAUGAUUAAAUUCGGGCCAAAAGUGGAUUAGAGGGAGAAUGGGGAAUAAUUGCUAAUGGGUACAGUCCACCUCCUGGGUUCAUGCCAUUCUCCUGCCGCAGCCUCUCACAGGCGCCCGCCACCACGCCCAGGUAAUUUUUUGUAUUUUUAGUAGAGAUGGGGUUUCACCACGUUUGCCAGGAUGGUCUCGAUCUCCUGACCUCAUGAUCUUCCUGCCUCGGCCUCCCAAAGUGCUGGGAUUACAGGCGUGAGCCACCGCGCCUGGCUGGUACAGGGUUUCUUUUAAGGGUAACAAUAUGUUUUGGAAUGAAAUAGUAGUGAUUCACAAUUCUGUGAAUAUAUUAAAAAUCACUAAAUUCUGCACUUUAAAAGGGUGAACUUUGUACUUACUAAACUAAAUGGAAAUAUCUGGGAAAAUUCAGAAUACGCUUAAAACAAACCGUUUUUACUUCUAACUUCUUACGAAAUGUAAGAAUGAUUAAAUCUGAAAAAUAAGUAAGGUCAUAGAAUAUUUCUUCUGGAAAUAUCUAUAUCCAUUCAGAUAUCGAGCCUAUAUGAAGGUGCUAAAGUUCUUUUGACUACUGCUAAAUUUUUAGAAACUAGCCAAAGAAUUUAGAUAUAGCUUCAGCUCUUGUGGCCUCUGGCAUUUUAUUUGUUGAAUAAUUCAAUUUCCACAUUGAAGCAAGUGAUUAGUUUUACAUUCCUACACUAAUUUCUUAGCUUAAAAAUGGCUUUAGUAGCUUAGACUGACUUCUUUGCUGAAAUGUCUUACUAGAACUUGGUGGAAAGCGGAACUACUAUACUAAUGAGUUAGCUAAGGGGACAAUAUUGUUAGAAAUUGAAUAUGGUAAUAGAAAUGAAACACGACAGCUGUGCAGGUUAAGUGAUUUU